GAUGAACGCUGGCGGCGUGCUUAACACAUGCAAGUCGAACGGAAAGGCCCAAGCUUGCUUGGGUACUCGAGUGGCGAACGGGUGAGUAACACGUGGGUGAUCUGCCCUGCACUUCGGGAUAAGCCUGGGAAACUGGGUCUAAUACCGGAUAGGACGAUGGUUUGGAUGCCAUUGUGGAAAGUUUUUUCGGUGUGGGAUGAGCUCGCGGCCUAUCAGCUUGUUGGUGGGGUAAUGGCCUACCAAGGCGUCGACGGGUAGCCGGCCUGAGAGGGUGUACGGCCACAUUGGGACUGAGAUACGGCCCAGACUCCUACGGGAGGCAGCAGUGGGGAAUAUUGCACAAUGGGCGCAAGCCUGAUGCAGCGACGCCGCGGGGGGGAGGACGGCCUUCGGGUUGUAAACUCCUUUCGCUAGGGACGAAGCGUUUUGUGACGGUACCUGGAGAAGAAGCACCGGCUAACUACGUG
rnacentral:rRNA from 1 species